rnacentral:rRNA from 1 species
CCUACGUGGGGCAGCAGUGGGGAAUAUUGGACAAUGGGGGGAACCCUGAUCCAGCCAUGCCGCGUGUGUGAAGAAGGCCCUCGGGUUGUAAAGCACUUUCAGUGAGGAAGAACGCCUGGUGGUUAAUACCCAUCAGGAAAGACAUCACUCACAGAAGAAGCACCGGCUAACUCCGUGCCAGCAGCCGCGGUAAUACGGAGGGUGCGAGCGUUAAUCGGAAUUACUGGGCGUAAAGCGCGCGUAGGUGGCUUGAUAAGCCGGUUGUGAAAGCCCCGGGCUCAACCUGGGAACGGCAUCCGGAACUGUCAAGCUAGAGAGCAGGAGAGGAAGGUAGAAUUCCCGGUGUAGCGGUGAAAUGCGUAGAGAUCGGGAGGAAUACCAGUGGCGAAGGCGGCCUUCUGGACUGACACUGACACUGAGGUGCGAAAGCGUGGGUAGCAAACAGGAUUAGAUACCCUGGUAGUC